AGUCCGGCAGUUGCUCCCCGACAACCAUACGUGAUUUUGAGACGCUUUUGAGGCAGGCAGAGGCACUAGGAUUCUUAGGUGAUGCUGUGUCCGGUUUUACGUGAAUGAAUAACAAGCAUUUUACAGGGAAAGAAGAACUGAAGAGUGCGAGUUUCAGAAAUUGCAAAUCAAAGUCGAAAACCAUAGACAUACGUUUCUGAAAGAAAACGUCAUUUCUACUCUUGUUGAAGCUACGAAGCUCACAGAUACUUGGGCUUCCUCACAUGCGUCUUACCCGAGAUCGAACGCCGGCCCCUACAAAGAUCUCGCGAAUGGAUUGGUAAAUCAUCUCUGGUUGUACCUGCUCCUUGUCGGAAGAUUAUUCUCAGUGUCACGAAAGUCCCCUUACGGGAUAUUUCUCUUGCUGUAAGAGAUAAAGACGGUCCAUGUGUGCUUAGUGGAAGAUGAUUCUGGUGGAGUGGAUAAGCUGCUCCUGACUACUGACGGUAAAGUGGAAUCCGAUACAGUUUGAUAUAAAUGAUGGGAAUCAAUUAUCAAAUUUGAGUCCUUCGUGUAAAGAGGAUAUCAAGGAUUUAAUUCAUUCUUUUUGUGAUGUCUUUGAUUAAACAUAGAGUUAACCACCAACCUCAUUUCAAAGAAGUAGAAAAGUUUUAUGAACAAGGAAUUAUAAGACUGUCCUCCCCACCCUAUUGCUCCCCAAUCGUCAUGGUAAACAAGCAAGCCGAUGAAACCUAUCGCAUGGCUAUUGAUUUUCGUGCAAUUAUUUCCAUCAAUGUGUUCCAUGCUGAGCCGUCUUGCAGUAUGGAGGAAAAGUUGUUUAAGUUUUCAGGUGCACGAUACUUUUCAGAUUGAUUUAACGAAAGUUUAUUAUCAGAUUCCACUUUCAGAAAGUGCAAUGUCUUUAACUAUUACUCCUACCCACAAAGGCCCGAUGGAAUGUACAAGACUUGGCUUUGGUUUAGUGGCUGCAGGUGCUUCAGAUAUCACGGUGAUGAGACUUGUAGUGCCUGGGUUGAGUAAUAUCGUUUUUAUUUUGAUAUUUGUCAGUGUAGGUUUGAGUUUAGUUAUUAUUUUGGAUUUAUUGUUGAUGGCCAUAGUCUAAAACCGCAGUACAGUAAAGUUGAAUCUCUUCUCAAUGCGCAUUUGUAACGAAAGCCUUAAAGUUUCUGGAAAUUAUUUGAUAUCAUAGAAUGUUCAUACCAAAUAUUUCUGACCUAACAAUUCUACUAUCUGAUAUACUCGGGAGGAAUAUCAGUGAACCUUUUUUGGCUUAAAUUGGAAGAAAGUAAAUUUGAGAGACUUAAUUUAUGGCCACUGAACCCGCUCUUUAAAUUGCCGGACCUUAUCUAUCUUUCGCCCUCAGAAUUGAUGCGCCCUAACUAUGGUGUCAGGGCGAUAUCACUGCAGUACGUUGAUGACAUUCCUUGCCCAGUCAUAUACGCAAGCUCGAAGUUUCUAAAUCGAGAGCGACGUUACUCUCCAGUGGAAAGGGAAUGCUUAGUCAAAGCUCUCGCGGGUACUAGAUUCCGGUACUAUUCUAUCCGGCACAAAGUUUAUCUUGGAGGUAGACCACGAACGAAUGAUUUACAUCAACAGUGCAAAGUCUAGAAAUAAUAAGGGUUGUUCGUUAGUCUUUGUGUUUUGUCUUUCCGAUUUCGGAUAGUGUAUAUUGCUGGCCAGGAUGAUAUAGGGACAAGAUUUGUUGCGUAGACAUCCUUUGCAGAUAAUCCAGUAGUAAAUUUCGUAGCUAUCAUGAGUUAGAUACUUGUUGGGGGACAUGUAUAGAGGGGAAAAUUAUUAUAAUUAAAGAUUGUUAAAGAUCACGCAUAAGAUAUCGUGUGGAAAUACAUCGCUUAAUUCGAACACUUGUGAGGUGAGGACUCGCUUAUUUGGUCGAGGUUCAAGUUUCGUUCGGUGGUAUGAACGGAGGUUCGACUUACCAUAGGUAUUCCCCGACAGCCAUACUUGGUAAUUAAUUUUUGUUUUUGGUAGUUUUCCUUAUUCUUGAUUUGAUUCUAAGGUUGAAUGAGAUUUAUUUAUUCUUGCCCAUAAAUAACUGUUUAAGAGGGGGUUAUCUAUUUCUUAAGGUUUAUUUCUUUGAUAAGGACCUUCUACUGUCAAGGGUCAGACAAGAGAAGCGACUUUUGUUACGCUGACUAUUCCCCGUGGUUGUUCUUGCACGAUUAUUUUGCAGAUUUAGAAUAAUUUUGCCUUGUGUAACAAUUAUUUGAUCAUA
rnacentral:lncRNA from 1 species